rnacentral:sRNA from 1 species
CUGCCCCUUGAAUUCCUGCAGAAUUACCUAUUAAUUAUUAACACUAAUAAAUAGAUCUACUUUCACUAGAGGAUCUAGUAAUUAAUUCCAGCAUGCAAGAACAACUAAAAGUUUGGAUAUUAACAAUGCCAGAGAUUUACAAAUGAGACAAAGAAAUUUCAGAUUUAUAUGUAAAAUAGCUCAAAUGGUGAGACUUGGUUUCAUGGUGAUGACAGUAUGUAUAAACAUAACUAUUGCUUAUGAAUGGACUUGGCUUAAGUUGCCAAGAAAACACAUUUCAUAUCAUUUUAACACUAACCCUCAGUUGAAAACCAUGUGUGCAGAAGAUAUAUCUUGCCCUUACAAAGACUGUAUAAAUGAAACGAAAUGUUGGGGAUACGAGCCAUUUUGCAACUCAUCAAUACAUAUCAGUCACUUAAACUGCCCAGGGGACAGUGAACGUUGG